rnacentral:lncRNA from 1 species
AUGACACCAAUCAGAGUGAAGAAAAGAUGAGAAAUACUUUAGAUUCUCUGUCUGAAACAAUUGCUCAGUGAGUCAAGACUCAAAUGUAAUGAGGAAGGAAGAAUUGCAAGAAGGAAAGAUUUACACAGACACAGUUAAGGAUAAAGCUGAGCAGAACUGCACGAUUUCGAUUCCCAGGAAUUUCUUCCAAACUGUAAUUUGACUUUGACUUUGUGAGAAGACAUACCUGCUGACUCUCACAUUUGAUGAAAGUCAAAGCAAAAGUACUAAACUUCAAGGUGCAUGAUGGCAAAACGAAGGGUCUGAAAUGUGACCUGAACAUCCUCUGUCUUUGGAGGAGGAAGGAGGAAAAAUUUUCCUACUUUUUGCUGAUCUCUGGAGUACUACACCCAGCUCCUCAGCUCUUGGCACUUACACUGCUGCCUGGCUGGCUUAACACAUUAGUGAUUCUCUUUUAUAGUCCUUUUUCAGAAUUGUGAGUGACUAAACAAGUCUCAGAGAAUCAUGUCCUAUAUCUUACUUGGAUAUUAAACAGUUGGAAAGAGUAGGGAGAAGAGAGCUGCUCUAACUAUGCAAGGACUGGAAAUACUGCCUUGCAGCUGCGUGUUAAAAAUGAAAUACCAGCUCUUUAAACAGAUUAAAGAUUAUUUGAUUACUGUGUGUAAACUCCUUCUAGAAGAGCUACUGAUAGAAGUGAAACCUGAAAUAAGAGAAACGAGCAGCACAACACCAGGGGCAGGCUGGUGCUGGUAAAGCUCUUGCUGUGAAAUUUGAAGUGGAUGUAAGUUUCUAGGAAUAUUUGCUGCAGAACAGAUGUGCACUUCUUUACCCUCCUAGUGCCAGUUCAGCAUGAAAUUCACCUGUGUUUACAUCAGAGUAAAACAAAGUACCCCUGGGAAAAAAGCUGCCAACCAAGCAUGUUUUUACAGAAUAGUGAUGAAAUGUUUUACCAGGAUGAAAACACUUUUGUUGCCAAGGAAGAGGUCAACAGUACCCAUCUUGAAACUUCCCACUUAUGAGUUUAUGGAAAUGGACAACUGGCCAGUGUUUGGAGAAAAUUUCAGAUGUAAGAGUCUUUCACUCUUUUUCAAAUAAUUUAUAUAUUAGGUCUUCUGCACUCCAGGUGUGCUGCUGAUGUCAGGGUCCUCCAGGGAGCUCUGCAGUCCUUG